rnacentral:rRNA from 1 species
GGCGGACGGGUGAGUAACGCGUAAGAACCUGCCCUUGGGAGGGGAACAACAGCUGGAAACGGCUGCUAAUACCCCAUAGGCUGAGGAGCAAAAGGAGGAAUCCGCCCAAGGAGGGGCUCGCGUCUGAUUAGUUAGUUGGUGAGGCAAUGGCUUACCAAGGCGACGAUCAGUAGCUGGUCCGAGAGGAUGAUCAGCCACACUGGGACUGAGACACGGCCCAGACUCCUACGGGAGGCAGCAGUGGGGAAUUUUCCGCAAUGGGCGAAAGCCUGACGGAGCAAUGCCGCGUGAAGGCAGAAGGCCCACGGGUCAUGAACUUCUUUUCUCGGAGAAGAAAAAAUGACGGUAUCUGAGGAAUAAGCAUCGGCUAACUCUGUGCCAGCAGCCGCGGUAAGACAGAGGAUGCAAGCGUUAUCCGGAAUGAUUGGGCGUAAAGCGUCUGUAGGUGGCUUUU